rnacentral:rRNA from 2 species
CUAACACAUGCANGUCGAGCGGUAGCACANANAGCUUGCUCUCGGGUGACNAGCGGCGGACGGGUGAGUAAUGUCUGGGAAACUGCCUGAUGGAGGGGGAUAACUACUGGAAACGGUAGCUAAUACCGCAUAACGUCGCAAGACCAAAGUGGGGGACCUUCGGGCCUCAUGCCAUCAGAUGUGCCCAGAUGGGAUUAGCUAGUAGGUGGGGUAACGGCUCACCUAGGCGACGAUCCCUAGCUGGUCUGAGAGGAUGACCAGCCACACUGGAACUGAGACACGGUCCAGACUCCUACGGGAGGCAGCAGUGGGGAAUAUUGCACAAUGGGCGCAAGCCUGAUGCAGCCAUGCCGCGUGUGUGAAGAAGGCCUUCGGGUUGUAAAGCACUUUCAGCGGGGAGGAAGGCGAUAAGGUUAAUAACCUUGUCGAUUGACGUUACCCGCAGAAGAAGCACCGGCUAACUCCGUGCCAGCAGCCGCGGUAAUACGGAGGGGUGCAAGCGUUAAUCGGAAUUACUGGGCGUAAAGCGCACGCAGGCGGUCUGUCAAGUCGGAUGUGAAAUCCCCGGGCUCAACCUGGGAACUGCAUUCGAAACUGGCAGGCUAGAGUCUUGUAGAGGGGGGUAGAAUUCCAGGUGUAGCGGUGAAAUGCGUAGAGAUCUGGAGGAAUACCGGUGGCGAAGGCGGCCCCCUGGACAAAGACUGACGCUCAGGUGCGAAAGCGUGGGGAGCAAACAGGAUUAGAUACCCUGGUAGUCCACGCCGUAAACGAUGUCGAUUUGGAGGUUGUGCCCUUGAGGCGUGGCUUCCGGAGCUAACGCGUUAAAUCGACCGCCUGGGGAGUACGGCCGCAAGGUUAAAACUCAAAUGAAUUGACGGGGGCCCGCACAAGCGGUGGAGCAUGUGGUUUUAAUUCGAUGCAACGCGAAGAACCUUACCUGGUCUUGACAUCCACAGAACUUUCCAGAGAUGGAUUGGUGCCUUCGGGAACUGUGAGACAGGUGCUGCAUGGCUGUCGUCAGCUCGUGUUGUGAAAUGUUGGGUUAAGUCCCGCAACGAGCGCAACCCUUAUCCUUUGUUGCCAGCGGUCCGGCCGGGAACUCAAAGGAGACUGCCAGUGAUAAACUGGAGGAAGGUGGGGAUGACGUCAAGUCAUCAUGGCCCUUACGACCAGGGCUACACACGUGCUACAAUGGCAUAUACAAAGAGAAGCGACCUCGCGAGAGCAAGCGGACCUCAUAAAGUAUGUCGUAGUCCGGAUUGGAGUCUGCAACUCGACUCCAUGAAGUCGGAAUCGCUAGUAAUCGUAGAUCAGAAUGCUACGGUGAAUACGUUCCCGGGCCUUGUACACACCGCCCGUCACACCAUGGGAGUGGGUUGCAAAAGAAGUAGGUAGCUUAACCUUCGGGAGGGCGCUUACCACUU